rnacentral:rRNA from 1 species
AGCUCUGCCAGUGCAUAGAACUAUUGCUGCGGUUAAAAAGCUCGUAGUUGGAUCUCUGUUCGCGGCCGGGUCGCUCCUCCGGGGGUGCACUCGCGUCGUGGGCAUCCAGUCGACUCGUCCUCUGUCGCGGGUUCGCCCCGGUGGUUGGCGGUUGGCGUGUUUACCUUGAGCAAAUCAGAGUGCUCAAGACAGGCAUUGCGCCUGAAUGUUCUUGCAUGGAAUAAUAGAAGAGGAUUUCGGUUCUGUUUUGUUGGUUUUGAAGCCGAGAUAAUGGUCAAUAGAGACAAACGGGGGCAUCGGUAUUUCUGCGUGAGAGGUGAAAUUCUUGGACCGCAGGAGGACCAACAACAGCGAAGGCAGUUGCCAAGAAUGUCUUCA